rnacentral:rRNA from 1 species
UGCAACCUCAGGUCAGGCGGGGCUAAC